rnacentral:rRNA from 1 species
CACGUAGUUAGCCGGCGCCUCUUAUCCAGCUACCGUCAACCCACCCACAAGGAGCGGGCCUGCUUCACUGGCGAAAGAGGUUCACAACCCGAAGGCCUCCAUCCCUCACGCGGCGUCGCUGCAUCAGGCUUCCGCCCAUUGUGCAAUAUUCCCCACUGCUGCCUCCCGUAGGAGUCUGGGCCGUGUCUCAGUCCCAGUGUGGCCGUCCACCCUCUCAGGCCGGCUACCCGUCAACGCCUUGGUAGGCCAUCACCCCACCAACAAGCUGAUAGGCCGCGAGCCCAUCCCCCACCAGAAAAAACCUUUCCCAACCCACCCAUGCGGACAGGCCAGAAUAUCCCGUAUUAACACCACUUUCGUGGCGGUAUCCAGAACGAAAGGGGCAGGUUACUCACGUGUUACUCACCCGUUCGCACUCAUCCACCCCAACAAAGCCAGGAGCUUCACCGUUCGACUUGCAUGUGUUAAGCACGCCGCCAGCGUUCGUCCUGACGCCAGGAUCAAACCUCU